GAUGAUUUCUCAAGUGAGAUAGGAAGAAAGGGAAAGAAUAUAGCAUGAAUCCAAUUCCAUAUGCUUCCAUUAGGUCUACGUAUCUAAUUUUUGGCAACUUCCCUAACGAUUUGAUUUUUUGAAAUGACUAUGAUGUGGGCCAAUAGGAGAGGUAAAGACAUGAAUGAGGUGGUAAACUGGGAGUGUAAAAAACUGCAUUUUGAGGAGAGAGUGAAUCAAUGAGAAGAUAGGUUGGGGUAAUGGAGAAAGAAGAGGCCCUCUAAUAUAAAGUAGGGGAGAGUUUGCAAGAUUUCUUUAUGACCUGUUUGAUUAUCAAGAAAGGAUGAGAUGAAAAAGGUUAGGAUGAGAAAAGGAAAUUUUGUUUUUUUCAAUUUAGGUUCUAAGAUCAAAUAUAAGAGAAAAUAGAUUUUAUAGUGCUUGAUUGGUGAAAAAAUUAAAUUAGAUACAAACUUCUUGUUAUUGGAUUAUUUUUUGACAUUCAUGAAUUGAAUUAAUGUCAAUGCACAAUCAUGCAUCUAUCAUACAAUUUGAUAUGUUCUAGCAAUAAUUUUUAUGCCUCUACCCACACUACAAGAAAAAGCAUUUCUAGCGGCAGUUUUUGAGGGGGCUAAUUGAGAGUAGGAUUUCCUCCCUUGCACCUCUUCUCUCCACAUUUCAUUCUCUUCCCACCCUUUAUGUAUAUCCCACUCUCUCUGUCAUCUCUCUCUCGAUCAAUCAAAUUUCAGACUACCAUUGUCUCCUCGGCUGAGCUUAACACCAUUGCACAGCGGACGAAAUCCGACCAGAGUUGUCUCCUUCUCGGCUGAGCUUAAAACCACCGGACAGCAUCUGACAAUAGGGUUUUUCAAAGCUUAAGCCGAGAGAAUCGGUUCAGCUGAUAAAUAUUUCUAUAUGCUAUUUGAUAUGAUGCCAGAGGUUAGGAUUGUAUACAGUCUACCCCUCCCAAGACCCUGUAUAGCUGGUACCAACAUUGGGUAUGAAGACCAAUUGCCAUGGAUUGGUCUGAUGUAUGUAGUACUCAAUGGUCAUGGAUGUGUGGUUCAUUCUAACAAAAUGCAUGUCUUGCUGCUACUCGGUGGCUCUUUUGUGACCAUGUGUAGUGCUGUAGAGUCUAAUUAUUUGGGUGAAACUUUAAAAUGCUUUGAAAUGGCAAUUAAUAAUCUAUUAUCACUUGGAAAUGUUCUUAUCUUUUAAACUACUCUAUCAAGUUGUUUAUAAGGUUUUAUAUUUAUUAAGUUCAUUGGUACAAAAUAUUUGGACCAAAAUUUGGUCUGUGUCAAUUUCUAUUGAUGGACCCACUCAAUGAGUUACAGCCAGGAUUGUCUCCUAAGGUCAAAGUUGUUGUAUUGAAUUGACAUGGGUAACAUAUGAGAUUAUUCAGUUUUA